CAUCAUAAACAACCUGUGCCUCCUGACUCCCACUUUUCAUUAUUAAAAUGUGCUCUUAGCACUGGCCCAAAGGAGAGUUUUCCAGCUACUUCCUAGGCUUGCUGCUGGGGCGAUGGUAAUGUGUCACAGGACUGGCCUUACUUCCUGGCUGGCACCUGUAAUAGUACAAGAAAUGCUUUUCUUUUGGAAAUCUCUGACUCCAGAGUUUUGGUGAGUUCUUAAGAGUUCUCAACUUUUAUUAUGAAGAUGAAAUCUGGAUAAAGGGACAUUGCGUGCUGAGAAAAGAUUGUGGGAAGACACAAGAAAGCGCUCAUCUCCAAGCUGAGGAGAGAGCCCUCAGGAGAAACCAAACCUGAUACCGAUACCCUGAUGUUGGACUCAUCAGCUCCAGAACUGCAACAGUUUACAGCUUCGCUCUCGCACAUCUUAAUUGUCAUCAUCACUACUACUGUGUUUUGGGCCAUCAACUAAAAUAAGGGUUGCCUGACACAAGCCCUGUGAUACUGGGACUUUUUAUGAUAAGCAAGUUGCAGCUAAGUGACUAAGAGGAAGAGAACAGGAUCCGUGACUUUCUCUUGGCUGUCGACCUGCUGGUUUUGAAUCCCUUAUGAAUUUGGGGUCCCUUGCAUUCCUCACCCCUGUAAUGUCCCAAAUACUGGCUCUCGGUCUGUCCGACUGGAUGUCCUCUGGCUGCGCUACUGAGGGGCUCCCGUGUGUGCUGGCGCUCUGCUCCCAGCCAGUCCUGACAGGGAUUCUACCUCCUGUACCUCCACAUGCUGUGACAGCUUCCCAAGACGCCCACCCUAGGACCAGAGUUGCUAGGACCCACUACGCCAAAAAAGCAACCAGUAACAUGUGAAAUAGAUUGGUAUCUCAUUCAGAAGUCCUUGCCACAAUGUUUGUACACCCAUCUCGUAGCCAUGCGUACAGCUCUCCCAGAAAAAGUUUCCAGGACAAGGCAGUGCCUCAACUGUAGCAGUGAUUGCUCUGGGUUGCAGGACCACCACAUCCCAGCCCUGACAAUCAACAAUGUUUAAUUUUCAUCUCCAGCUUGAAAGAGAGAGAUCAACUAGACAGAAAAUCAGCAAUGAAAUACCAGACUGAACCAAACUGUGAACAAAAGGAGUUAAUAGGAAGCAGCCACGUCCCGAGGCCAUGCCACCACUGGGGGGGAGCUUCAGUGAACCACCCACCUGGGCCUCUCCAGCACUCCAGGAACCCCAAAUUGGAAGGACGCAGGUGCCUAGUCCGGUCACUACACCAAGGCACUGGCAGUCAGUGCAGGAAGCACCUGGGAUGCAGCAAUGGGCUGAUUGGGAGAAACACAGGGAAAUAUCAACAUGAAGGAGCAAAAUAGUCUCAGUCCUCGGCCCGGGUAAGUUCAAGAGACACAGAUACAGUAGAAAUCAUAAGUCACACACCUGAAAUUUCUGAAAAGAUAACUACUGAAGUAAAAAGCAAUUUGACUCUUAAUAAGUGUUUCACUUUACAUACCUAUGUCUGAUGGUCUGGACAGCUAUUCUGAAGAGGCAUUAUGGUAACCAUUGUUAAUUUCCUAUUAUCUUUAAGUCCUGCAUAAUUUUCAUUGUUUGGUCAAUCUCGUUUUAUGAAGUCUGAUGGUAUGGGCAACUAUUUUGAAGUUAA